GACGAACGCUGGCGGCGUGCUUAACACAUGCAAGUCGAACGGAAAGGCCCUGCUUGCAGGGUACUCGAGUGGCGAACGGGUGAGUAACACGUGGGUGAUCUGCCCUGCACUUCGGGAUAAGCCUGGGAAACUGGGUCUAAUACCGGAUAGGAGCCAUUUUUAGUGUGAUGGUUGGAAAGUUUUUUUCGGUGUAGGAUGAGCUCGCGGCCUAUCAGCUUGUUGGUGGGGUAAUGGCCUACCAAGGCGGCGACGGGUAGCCGGCCUGAGAGGGUGGACGGCCACAUUGGGACUGAGAUACGGCCCAGACUCCUACGGGAGGCAGGAGUGGGGAAUAUUGCACAAUGGGCGCAAGCCUGAUGCAGCGACGCCGCGUGGGGGAUGACGGCCUUCGGGUUGUAAACUCCUUUCGCUAGGGACGAAGCUUUUUGUGACGGUACCUAGAUAAGAAGCACCGGCUAACUACGUG
rnacentral:rRNA from 1 species